rnacentral:lncRNA from 1 species
CUUCAAUAGACUAAUCAACAUUGAUGAUGAUUAGCAAUUAUACUGCAUCAGGCGCCCAACUUUGUUCUUCAAAGCUGUGAUAGCUCUAAUCUCAUUUGCAGCUGUGAUAUGGGGCUCUACCAUAGGCACCACUCCUGACUUUCAGAGAAGAUUUUCAAUGCCACCUGAACAUCAAUGACAAGACAAGGUCACCAGAAAGGAUUCUUGGACAAGGGCCUGGUGACUAGGAAGCCCCGAAGUGAAAUCUCAUUUCACUCAUAGCAGCAGAUGCAAUUGUCUGAAUUCACUUAUUGGCUGUCUGAGUCUGAUAAUUUCCUAUGCUUGGGCCGCAGUGAGAGUUCCUUUUGAUAUCCUACGCAAAUCUCGCUAGAUGCAAAACCUUG